rnacentral:rRNA from 1 species
AGUCGAGGGGUAUUUUGUCUUCGGACGAGAGAGACCGGCGCACGGGUGCGUAACGCGUAUGCAAUCUACCUUUCACAGAGGGAUAGCCCAGAGAAAUUUGGAUUAAUACCUCAUAGUAUAGUACCUUGGCAUCAAGGAACUAUUAAAGAUUUAUCGGUGAAAGAUGAGCAUGCGUCCCAUUAGCUAGUUGGUAAGGUAACGGCUUACCAAGGCUACGAUGGGUAGGGGUCCUGAGAGGGAGAUCCCCCACACUGGUACUGAGACACGGACCAGACUCCUACGGGAGGCAGCAGUGAGGAAUAUUGGUCAAUGGGCGCAAGCCUGAACCAGCCAUGCCGCGUGCAGGAUGACGGUCCUAUGGAUUGUAAACUGCUUUUGUACAGGAAGAAACACUCCCUCGUGAGGAAGCUUGACGGUACUGUAAGAAUAAGGAUCGGCUAACUCCGUGCCAGCAGCCGCGGUAAUACGGAGGAUCCAAGCGUUAUCCGGAAUCAUUGGGUUUAAAGGGUCCGUAGGCGGCUUAAUAAGUCAGUGGUGAAAGCCCUACGCUUAACGUAGGAACGGCCAUUGAUACUGUUAGGCUUGAAUUAUUAGGAAGUAACUAGAAUAUGUAGUGUAGCGGUGAAAUGCUUAGAGAUUACAUGGAAUACCAAUUGCGAAGGCAGGUUACUAC